CAUGAAAAAACACGGCCUAACAGAAAUGACAAACAGUGGUGAAACAGUUCAAUAAGAGAGUAAUAAAUAUAGAAUGUAAACAAGUAGAGAAGUACUUUAAAAAGAAGCAACUAUGUGUGGAUUGUGUGGUUCAGAAAAAUGUCCAGGUUGAAUGGAAACGCGUCCAUGUGUAAGAAUCAGUUGUGUUUUUGACCAGAAACAUGGUGCUGUCAUGCUCCACCAGAGCCCAGCAGUCUCACAGACUCUAUGAAGAAACUCUGGUGGUUCCAGCCUGAUGCUCUGCAGCCUUUUAUUUGAUCGAAUUACUGAACCCAAGUCUGAUUUUUAAUUCGAACCUAAAAUGAUCAAAGCUCUGAAGCAGGUUCUGAUCAAGCUCCAUCUGUUUUAUUUUCCCUUGAAGAAGAAAAACUUGAUUUCAGGAAUUCUCAACUUCAUGACACACUCAAUGCAACAUGGUUACUUCUGUGCAGGAUAAAUCUACAACAACACCUUUAAACCUCACCAUGUCUACACCUUUGUCUAACAGAAACACCACAGUAACCGGUUUAAGGUGGGGGUCCAGGUCAACGAGAGAGUGAAAGAUUACCCACUCAGCCGAUGUUCUGACAUGUGAUGUGAGAUGUGAAGACCCCGCGGCCCACGGCAGCCCACGGCGGCUCAAGCCUGCGGACUGCAGCCGGGGCCAUUUUAUGGAUCAGAAGCAAUAAAAGCCAGUGCUCAAACAAUAUGGAAGCUGCAGACCUGGACUUCAAUCACA